UGCGAAUGGCUCAUUAUAUAAGUUAUCGUUUAUUUGAUAGCACCUUACUACUUGGAUAACCGUGGUAAUUCUAGAGCUAAUACAUGCUGAAAAUCCCGACUUCGGAAGGGAUGUAUUUAUUAGAUUAAAAACCAAUGCCCUCUGGGCUCCCUGGUGAUUCAUGAUAACUGCUCGAAUCGCAUGGCCUUGCGCCGGCGAUGGCUCAUUCAAAUUUCUUCCCUAUCAACUUUCGAUGUUUGGGUAGUGGCCAAACAUGGUGGCAACGGGUAACGGAGGGUUAGGGCUCGGCCCCGGAGAAGGAGCCUGAGAAACGGCUACUACAUCCAAGGAAGGCAGCAGGCGCGCAAAUUACCCAAUCCCGACACGGGGAGGUAGUGACAAUAAAUACUGAUACAGGGCUCUUUUGGGUCUUGUAAUUGGAAUGAGUACAAUUUAAAUCCCUUAACGAGGAACAAUUGGAGGGCAAGUCUGGUGAACGUUGCUGGCGCCAGAGAGAGCCGCCCCUCCGUAAACGAAGCGGCUAGUCGAGUGCUCGUGGCAGUAACGGGUGAGCACCGGCGAGACAACCUGGGUCGGGGGAGGCUAAGGGCCCCGGGCCUAUGCUAAUCCCGAGCAGAGCCGAUUUCCUACGGCCUGUGUAGAGCGCGCUAAGGUGUCGGUCCCGGGGCUCCCGCCAGCGGGAGUCCCCCGGGGCUUGAGGUACGUGCCAAUCCCCUGCGAAAGCAGGGCC
rnacentral:rRNA from 1 species